GAAAAAUCCAGCAAUCAGACCUGUGCAGCCGGAAUGCUUCCACAGGAGAUGGCAGUGCACAGAAACAGCGCAUUAUCUAAAAACAGCCUCGCACAAUAUGUUUCUAUGGACAUCAGAAACCAAUCUUUGAAACGGUCCCCGAUGAGGGCCAUGCUGGCCCGAGCUGCAUUCUGAAAGUGUUCCAAUUCCUCCUUUGUAUCCGGCCUGUGUUUAUUGGAGAAAGAGCAUCUUCACGGAAGCUUGUAGCUGAUUCAUUAGCUCAGAAUGAAAGAGCUAUAAGAGGUGAAGCCAAUCAUUUGAUCGUAAAGCAUCGUCAAUGUGAAGGAAACUGCCUUUGAGCCCUCUGCCACCGCCCGUAUUGGGGGGAAUCAUGCAAACCACACCGAGCAGCUCUCAAGCCCAAGUUCAUCUGCCUUACAGUUGAGCUACACUCAUCAUGUACAUGGAGGGAAGGAGAAACACCAUUUGAUAUGUGUGUCUACAAACACUUAUCCCUGACAAGGCCGAGCAAAGUACAGAAGUAGCGUUCCACCUAACGUGCUGGGAUAUAUGAGUCUUCGAAAUGGUGAUCUCUAUCUCAAAAACCAUUUAACCGUCCUAUGAUAGUGCAGUUACUGUGGUUAUAAGGCUUUCCUUCCUAGAAUGAUAGAGCGCAGUAAAAUGUCUUAUAAAACAACACAGAAGUUAUUGCUUACCAGAUUCUGACUCUAGUAAAUUUAUCGUGCCGUAUCUUUCCACGAGUUCUUCAUUCUCUUCUCCUUUUCCAUGUGUGUAAUGAGUUCCACAAAACAGAUAGCAUUGCUUCCUUUUCAUUAAUAAGAGCCCUAGAUUUUGAGGGGUGCCUUUGAAGAAUGGCAUCCAACUUCUAAGAGUUUUAUUGUCAGAAGCUCAUUGGUAAACUGCACCAUUCUACAGAUUUUGUUUUGUUUUGCUUUUUUUUUCCCUUCCUUAAAAUGUUACUCCUUUAUCUUUAGAAACAUUUUUCCAGCCUUGCCCCACUUGGCAAGUUGUCUACAAUAAAAAGAUUUUUAUCUUAGACAAAACCCCGGUAGAAUGGCAAUGCCCUGAUUAAAAUUACUCAUGGAAAGUAACUCCAUCAAAUGCAUGAGAAAUGACCACUGGAUGCUGGCCAUGGACCAACUCAGUGAUGCAAAGCCACUUUAAAACACUCCUAUGUCUUCGCUUCCUUCUCCUCCAGAGAUCCACUGGGGUGACAGGCUGCCCUCCCUACCUAAGAUUGGAUAUAUUGAUCCAGAAACUGCUCUUAUCAACUAGAGCUGCAUUUGAGACUUUCUGGGCAUGUUAUUACUUCUGAGAAUUGCACAUUUGUCUCUCGAGCACUGUGUCCAGAACCCUUUGGCACACAGGGCAAACUCAGUGACCCCAAAUGUCUGAAGCAAAUAUCAGAACAUGAUCUAUAAUUAACAGAAAUGAAUUUUUAGCCACUUAAAUACCCAGAGUAUUUACACUUGACUCUGGAACUAAAAGUGAGAUUGUGACAUAUACCUCCCACAACUGUUAAUAAUUUUGCAUGUAAGUGCAAGGGUAAACUUUAACUCCGUCUGCACUGCUCCACGUUAAAAUGCUUUUAAAACAGUG
ensembl:lncRNA